rnacentral:rRNA from 1 species
ACGGGGCCGCACAAGCGGUGAGCAUGUGGUUUAAUUCGAAGCAACGCGAAAGAACCUUUACCAGGUUCUUGACAUCCCGAUGCUAUUUCUAGAGAUAGAAAGUUACUUCGGUACAUCGGUGACAGGUGGUGCAUGGUUGUCGUCAGCUCGUGUCGUGAGAUGUUGGGUUAAGUCCCGCAACGAGCGCAACCCCUAUUGUUAGUUGCCAUCAUUCAGUUGGGCACUCUAGCGAGACUGCCGGUAAUAAACCGGAGGAAGGUGGGGAUGACGUCAAAUCAUCAUGCCCCUUAUGACCUGGGCUACACACGUGCUACAAUGGUUGGUACAACGAGUUGCGAGUCGGUGACGGCGAGCUAAUCUCUUAAAGCCAAUCUCAGUUCGGAUUGUAGGCUGCAACUCGCCUACAUGAAGUCGGAAUCGCUAGUAAUCGCGGAUCAGCACGCCGCGGUGAAUACGUUCCCGGGCCUU